AACGAACGCUGGCGGCAUGCCUAACACAUGCAAGUCGAACGAGACCUUCGGGUCUAGUGGCGCACGGGUGCGUAACGCGUGGGAACCUGCCCUUAGGUUCGGAAUAACUCCCCGAAAGGGGUGCUAAUACCGGAUAAUGUCUUCGGACCAAAGAUUUAUCGCCUUUGGAUGGGCCCGCGUUGGAUUAGCUAGUUGGUAGGGUAAAAGCCUACCAAGGCGACGAUCCUUAGCUGGUCUGAGAGGAUGAUCAGCCACACUGGGACUGAGACACGGCCCAGACUCCUACGGGAGGCAGCAGUGGGGAAUAUUGGACAAUGGGCGAAAGCCUGAUCCAGCAAUGCCGCGUGAGUGAUGAAGGCCUUAGGGUUGCAAAGCUCUUUUACCCGGGAUGAUAAUGACAGUACCGGGAGAAUAAGCUCCGGCUAACUCCGUG
rnacentral:rRNA from 1 species